UUGACUUGAGGUUUUAUUAGUCUGGUUAUAUAUGUGUGUGUGUGUGUGUGUGUGUGUGUGUGUGUGUGUGUGUGUAUGUAUGUGUGUCUGCACAGGCGCGUGUUGGGGCUCAUGUUUUGUUUGCUGAAAUUUAUGAUGUGUUGGCUGGUUUGUGGUUCAUCUUUGGGUUAGACUCAGCUGCUCUGCUCCUCUCAGGGCUUGUCUUGUUUUCUCUUGUUCAUUUGUUCAGACAUCUCACAUGUCCAGAAAUAAACACACGCGCACACUUCCACACACAGGAAGCGACAGGACAGUGUGAUGUCUUCACUCCACAGCCGACAGGAUUUGCUCCUGCUGGUUCAAAUAACAGCAGUCCACUUGUAAACCAAUCUUCUGUUGUACCCUCGCUCAGUUUUUAACAAAAAAAUGGUUCAAUAAGUCUGGGAUUUUCUGGUGGAUUAUCUCUGACUUCAAAUUAAAACAAAAACAACAAAAAAAUUGUUGCUGUUUGUUUUUGAACAUUGCAGUGUUAUUCAGUUUUUUUCAAUUAAUUCAAGUCAGGGUACAACCAUCAACAGAGGUGAAAAUGGCACCAUAAAUGCUAGUAUUCUUGCACUGUACGUGAAAAAAAGAAGCAGAAGUUGUGUUUAUGGUAAAGUUUAUUGUUAAAACUGCAUCUAAAGUCAAGGUGUAUUUUUUAAAAGCUUAAACUAUUCUGAAAGAAGAGGGUAAAGCCUCUCUGACAGUUACUUAGGGCUAAACAAGCAUGCUGAGUUUUGCUGUAUAAAAAAAUCAUCAGACAUCAUCCCAGCGGUAUUUCCAAUCCUUAAAGUCACAGAUCACAAAAAAGUCAUUUUUAGACAUCAUAGUUUUGGGGCUUCCUUGAGAGCCACAAAUUGUUUUUGUGUUUAAAUUGAAACUAAACUGACAUAAGAAGUUUGUGUAGGAAAAAGAUAUCGAUUUGUGAAUAUAGACCUUACUGUUUGUCCACUGUGAUUGGUCCAUUCUUUAAAGCCACUUUUACAAGUGGUAGCUCAUUCUAAGAUCAUGGUUUCUGCUGGUAUCUUGGUCCAGGUGUUGAACAGAUAUACAAGUUUUCAUAUUUGGAAUGUAAUAUGGUGAAAUCAGUCCAUGUUCUUGCAGUAAAUAUUCCCUGGUCCUUAAGUGUCUUGAUGUAAUACAAUUUUUUAACCACUUCGAAAUAGAUAAAUGAGAAGUGAUAUCCACAAAAAGACCCUGCAGUCAGUCCAUCCCUCUUAACCCCUCUUCUUAUAAAGGGCUUGGGUUAUGGUGUCUGCAUGCAAAGAGAGGUUUUCCAGACAUCCCUCCUCCAUGGAAGUUUCUACAGCUCCUAAACUCUAAGAUUUUCUUAGGCCAGAUGAGAUAUAAUCCCACCAGAAUUUCCUGGUGUCCCUGCCCCCAAGUAGGCUUGUCCAGAGACACUUCAAAGGCAGGUGUGCAGGAUGCACCCCGUUUAGUGUUGCCGAAAUCACCUCAGGUGGCUACUUCCUUCCUGUGGUACAGGUGCAGUGGCUGUAUUCAAAUCUCCCUCCUGAUGAUAGAGCUCCUCACUCUGUCCAAGGAUAAGAUAAGCACUUAAUUAGAGGAAACUCUUUUUAGCUGUUUGCAUCUCAGUCUUUGUGGUUCGUAGGGCUGGGCAAUUAAUCAGAAAUGAAUCCUAACCAAAGUUCAGAACUGCUAACUGAGGUAAUCUUGUCUAUAUUGGUUGUUGAUUUUAUGAAUUUCUGUUAAAAGUAUAAUGAGGGUCAUGAGCUGUGAAGGAUAAAAGUAGGUAAUCUAGAGGCUAAAAUGUGAAAUGAUAAUAGUUUGUGUGUUGAAGUUGCCAUCAGCCAGUUUUUCUGUAUUAGAUACACAGUGUGAGCCAUGAGAGCUGUUUGUGUUUAUUUACAGGUAUGCAUUUUAAAUUGUGAAACAACAUUAGCCUCGCAUGCAUUUUUUAAAAUUCAGUUUGCCACUUGUAACUUUUGUUCUGUAACUUCAUGUUAAAUUCAGCUAUCAGUGUGAAGUUGGAAGCAUCUUUCACUGCAAAUUAGCUGGCUGAGGUGCCCAGCUUGGGGGUUUUCGUAGUACAUGAGGUCUCCUCAAGCUUGUUUUGGGGAUACUCAAAAGCCACCAGACACAGAGAUUGAAAACGUUUUACCAGGACAUUACCCCAUCUUUGGACACAAUGUCUAAAGACCAGUAAAGAGUCAAUGUGAAAGGAGAUUUCUGAGACUGGCAAAGCUAACGCAUAUCUGCCACCAACACUGUGCCUCCUCAGCUCGUGUUUUCUGCCACCAGAAUCAGUUUGACCCCUAUGAGCUCCUGACUGACACCGUCCAUGUGUCCAUGCUCAACUUAUCAAUAAGAACAAGUAUGCAGAAAACUGAACACUGGGAGUCAGUGAUGCUUCUCUGUCCAGUUUCUUUGCUGGAGCAUUUUUAGGUUUUGUUGUUUGAGACUUACUCUGUAUGAUGGUAUGUUGUACUGAUUAUUAUAAAUAUAUAUGAUUUGGGGAAAUUUGUUAUUCCUUUUUUCAUAGGAAAAUUUUAAAUUUGUCAUUGAUUAAUUGAUCACUGAUCAUUAAGGUUUCUGAAGAUAGAUGGGUAAUAAAACGGCAUCCCUAUUCUGAGGAUUUAUCCUAAGAACAGAGCAGUUUUUAAACAUACUAUGAUUAGUACAAACUGAAUAAUCAGAACAUUGUUGCUGUUGUCUUUGCAUGGUAAUACUUUGUAAUGAUGAGAUCAGAAGUCGCCCUAGGCUCCUCUCCCAUGCAGGUGUAAGUGAGAGUUGCCGUGGUUACAUCCAUGGUCUGUGUCUGGAGCUGAAAGGGAUCCUCUCUUUAUUGCAUGGACUGUGCUCUCUGAUAUUAUGUGUCAUAGAAAUGAAUCACAGUCUGAAUGAUGAUCAUAGGGUUACACUCUAACCUUGGUUCUGUGAGUGAAGAGACAAUCUUUCAAGCUUGCACAUGUGAUGGAGAGGAAGUUGAUAGAGAACAAGUUUUGGGGAUUUUGUUUGACCUGUGUUGUAAAUGCACAAAAUGAACAUUUGAGUCAUGUAGUUCAAGGCUGUGUAUUCACAGCCUUCAACUAUAGAAAUCAUGAAUUGUGAGCUAUAGCUGACCAGGAAAAACAGAUAUGCUCAUUUCGUACAUGGUUUUACAUUACCUGAAAAAAUCUGAAUGUGUGUUAUUGUGUGUUUCAGUUGUGGGGGGCAAUCUUUUUUGUGGUACCAAUCACAUCCUUGAUAAAGAGUUGAUCUGUACGUUCCCUUCUUUGUUCUUUAAAAAAGAAAAGCACACAAAUAAGAUGUAUGCUAUUUUAUCAGAAACAAUUAUCCCAGCUUUAAUUGUUGAUUUGGAACAAACCUUGUAAAGGAACUAUGAGGGCAAAAAAGUCAAAAACAAAAAAAUAAAUUCAUUGAUCAUAUUUGAGGUAAAAUGUUCAAUUAAUCAUGAUAUUGAUUUCAGGCCAGUUUAGGUUUUCAGCCCAAAGCUUCAGACCAA